rnacentral:rRNA from 1 species
AUGGAGAUGGAGAAAUGGGCUGCUGGAAGAAGGAUGGCACUGAUCCUUGUGCUGCUGUGCUGCGUUUUUGGAGGAGAUGCGUACGACGUCCUCGACCCAACCGGCAACAUUACCAUAAGCUGGGAUUUCCAGGAAAUAAAGGUCCUGGUUAGCCUGCACAACUACCAGCUCUACCGCCACGUCGAGGAUCCAGGGUGGAGGCUGAGCUGGUUCUGGGCCGGCGACGAGGUGAUCUACGACACGACCGGCGCAGAGGCAACCGAGCAAGGCAACUGCAGCCUAUUUGUGGGCGCCCACAGCUGCGAGAAGCACCCGGUGAUGGUUGAUCUGGCGCGGGGCGUGCCAUAUGCCCGUCAGGUGGACCACUGCUGCCGGGGCGGGGUGCUGUCCUCGCUGACACAGAACAGCGAGGCGGCCACCUCGGCGUUCCUCAUGCACGUCGGCAACUUCAAGUCCUCGAGCGACGGCAUCCCCCAGAAGCCUUUCAACUUCAGCCUUGGGGUGCCUGGCUAUAGGUGCAGUAACGCUACAAUGGUAGCUCCAACGAGGACUCGGAUCGGCAAGCACCGGCACGUCCAGGCGCUGAUGACGUGGCAGGCCACCUGCUUCUACUCGCAGACAGCGGUGGGCCCGUUCCGGGCGUGCUGCGUCUCUUUGCCCACGUUCUACAGCAGGACGAUAGUGGAGUGCCCCCACUGCACCUGCGGCGCCUGCCCAGCUGGGACCUCCACAGCACCGCAGUGCCAGGACGCCGAGAUCCGGUGCACCGGGCACAUGUGCCCGAUAAGGGUGCACUGGCACGUCAAGAAGAGCUACACCGAGUACUGGCGGGUGAAGCUGUCGAUCAACAAUUUCAAUAGGUUCAAGAACUACAGUGACUGGAACAUCGUCGUCCAGCACCCGAGUCUACAGGAGUUGACCCAAGUUUUCAGCUUCGCCUACGAGCCGCUUGUGCAGCGCGGCACGAUCAACGACACAGGCCUCUUCUGGGGGCUCCCACGCUUCAACCAGAUGUUGCCCCAGGAUGGUACUGUGCAGACAGAGGUCCUGCUGAGGAAGGGCAAGGAUUUCAGCUUUUCUGGUGGGUGGGCACUGCCUAGAAAGAUAUACUUCGACGGCAGCGAGUGCGCGAUGCCGCCACCAGACGACUUCCCCCAGCUGCCCAGCAGCAGCCCUGUUCAGCGCUUCUCAGGAGGGCACAGGUGGCUGGCCUCAGGGGCCGUCUUGGUGCUUGGACUUCUGCUGACUUGA